GGGGGCGUUUAUGGAUUCGACGGGGAUUGGACGAGCGCGGGUUGCGGGUAGUGGGGACGCGUCCACUUCAUCAACGCUAAAGCCUAUUAAACGGCAAACAACAAACAAACUACGCUUUAGCAGCUUAAUAACCUGUUAGCGUGCUUCUACCUUCCAUCGCCCAUGUGGCAGGAUAGGGGCUCAACUUUAGUGGGAUACGCUGUCACAUCUCCGCCUGGGGUGUGCUGAAGAAGACAAUCAGGCUGACCUUAGCGAUAGCCGGUUACGGGGCGCUUGCUAGGGUGACAUCAAAACUGUGACUACACCCGUAGAAGCCUGUGUGGCGUGAUCUUCGGACAGGGGUUCAAAUCCCCUCGCCUCCACCA
rnacentral:tmRNA from 1 species